UGAGCUGAGUCUCUGGAUUAGGAACACGGAAUGACAAAGGAAAAUCAAGGUCCAAGAGCUCUGGAAACACAGGGUAAAGCAAGAAAAUUUCUCAGCUGUACACCCACAGAUAGUUGAAACAGUUGUCCAAAGGUUGAUGAAUAACCACCAAGAAUCAGAUACAGAGAAAUUAAAUUGAAGACUGGAAUUCACUAGAGAAUUUGGUGCCACUGGGAACAGAUCUCCAACUUUUAACACCUCUCCACACCUUUUAAUCGUGGCUUUCAACACGACCAGAAAAGAUACAGUUGUGGGGAAAAUACUUUAAUAUAAUAAAGUAGAUUUGGGACAGCA
rnacentral:lncRNA from 1 species